rnacentral:rRNA from 1 species
CGUGCAGGCGGUUUGAUAAGUUGGAUGUGAAAGCUCCCGGCUCAACUGGGAGAGGUCAUUCAAUACUGUCAGACUUGAGGAUGGUAGAGGGAGGUGGAAUUCCGGGUGUAGUGGUGAAAUGCGCAGAUAUCCGGAGGAACACCAGUGGCGAAAGCGGCCUCCUGGACCAUUCCUGACGCUCAGACGCGAAAGCUAGGGUAGCAAACAGGAUUAGAUACCCUGGUAGUCC